GCGACUCACACGGGUCGGCCUGUCGUAACGACAUGCCGAUUUCCAUACAUUGUACAACAUGUUCGGUGAUUGUAACGAAUAUCGACAAAUCGAUUUGUUGCCACUCACACGAUUCGAUCUGCCGAUUGGGUGUCGAUCUCAUGAUAUCUCACGAUAAUUUGUUUCCAUGGUAUCAAAAUGUCUGAAGCAGACGUGGCAGCAGUCAUCUGCUGCGCGAUAUUGUGUGAAGAAGACGGCAAUGCCAACGUGAAGAAAGAGAGAAGUUGUUGGACUAAAGAUUGGAUUCUCCGUCGCGACAUGCAGGGAGCGUACAACAAUCUGAUAAAAGAACUCGAAAUUGAGGAUGAACAGUCGUAUUACAAUUUUUUUCGCAUGGGAAAAGAAAGUUUUAACCAUCUGUUAUUAAAAGUCCAGCCAAAGAUAAAAAAGCAGGACACUAACAUGCGGGAAUGCCUUCCAGCCGGAUUGAAGUUGGCAGUUACACUUCGUUUCCUGUCUAGCGGUGACAACUUCCAGUCUCUGUCUUACCUGUACAGAGUGCCAUCCAACACCAUAUGCACAUUCGUCCCAGAGGUCUGUCAAGGCAUUUAUGAAGCCCUCCAGCCAGAGUAUGCCAAGAUGUCGGUGCCAAUGGGAGAGCUGGAGAUGCAGGGAUCUUUGCAAAUUCAGAUCUGUUGAGGUGUAUUGAGGCUAAUACAGUUAAUAUACCAUCACCAAAGCCUCUUCCAGGAAGACAAGAGGACACACCACAUGUUAUUCAAAACUAUUAUGGCUGCAGUGGUCUUACACAAUUUCCUGCGUACCAAGAAAGAUCGAGUUUACAGUACACACUCUGAUGUUGAACCUGACACCACACAAGUUAGUCACGCAAUGCGUCUAUCAAGACAAGGGGGCAACUUUUCCUCAUCAUCAGCCAGAGAUGUCAGGGAUGAAUUUACUGACUAUUUCAUGACAAAUGGACAAGUUGACUGGCAAUGGGACAAAAUUUAACCUUGUAUGGCACAGUGAGCUGUGUCAGUAUGGGACACACUGAGCCUAUGUCAGUAUGGUAAAUUGACCUGUGUCAGUAUGGUGCAUUUAGCUUUGCCAGUGAGUAGAUGUGCAAUCAAGAAUGUGGUAUGUAGCUGAGUCUACAUAAUGAUAAUUGUAAAUAACCACCUUUGUGUAAAUUGUGGAAGCAAAUAAACAAUACUGUAAU
rnacentral:misc_RNA from 1 species